rnacentral:rRNA from 1 species
AGAGUUUGAUCCUGGCUCAGAUUGAACGCUGGCGGCAGGCCUAACACAUGCAAGUCGAGCGGUAGCACAGAGAGCUUGCUCUCGGGUGACGAGCGGCGGACGGGUGAGUAAUGUCUGGGAAACUGCCUGAUGGAGGGGGAUAACUACUGGAAACGGUAGCUAAUACCGCAUAACGUCGCAAGACCAAAGUGGGGGACCUUCGGGCCUCAUGCCAUCAGAUGUGCCCAGAUGGGAUUAGCUAGUAGGUGGGGUAAUGGCUCACCUAGGCGACGAUCCCUAGCUGGUCUGAGAGGAUGACCAGCCACACUGGAACUGAGACACGGUCCAGACUCCUACGGGAGGCAGCAGUGGGGAAUAUUGCACAAUGGGCGCAAGCCUGAUGCAGCCAUGCCGCGUGUAUGAAGAAGGCCUUCGGGUUGUAAAGUACUUUCAGCGAGGAGGAAGGCGUUAAGGUUAAUAACCUUGGCGAUUGACGUUACUCGCAGAAGAAGCACCGGCU